CUCCGUGGCCGGGUCUGACUGGUUCGAGGGCCGGCGAGCACCGAACCAUUCCCGAUCCCGGCUCGAUUGCGGCUCCCCUUUUGCCGCCGUUUGCCCCGUCGGACCUGGAACGAUCGGGGAGCGUAACCGCGACGAUCGAUCGAUCGGUCUUCGAUCCCAACCCUGGACGAAACGAGAAGCUCCCUCGCCGCGCGAGGCCGCCGGACAACGGGACGAUGCGACGAGACACGUGGAACGACGGACGACGACGACGGUCGAGAAGCAAGGGGGACAAGCACGAUCGGCGCACAAACACGGAGCACAAAGCGCGGCGCGACAGACGGUUUCACGGUUCGACGGUCAAACGACAAACCGGAAAACUUACCGUGGUCCUCGAGGUACGCGGCGAGAAUCUCCGCCGCCGUCGGCCCGUACUGGCUCCGUUGCAUCACGUUCUGCCCGGCCUGCAACCAACAAUCGUUAAAAGCUCGUCCCCGCGCGAGCUUGCCGCCGGCACGCGAGCACGACACGCGUCGGCCAGCACGCGAUCCGGCAGGAAGGUAAAUGGGAACGUAACGACGCGUUCGAUAACUCGUCGAGAUCGGCGCGGAUACGGCCGACGAGGACAGUCUUCAGCCGACGGGGCUGUGCUACCCGGCGUAGGAGGACCUUCGAUUUCGGGGUCGGAGAGAGGACACGUCGUGGCGCAACAAGUUGCGUACCGCUGGCUCGAACCGAGCGACGAGUGAACGUUAUUCUUACCGAAGGGUAACGAAUUAACGUGUCGCGAUCGGAUCUCUGCUACUUUCAACGGUGGAACUGACGGAGAGGAGACGCGGACGAUGCGGAAUGGAAGCGACGAACGGGUGGACGCAGUGGAAAAUAAUCGGAUCCGAAAUGCAAACAUGCUUCGACUGUUUGUUGAGGGUACAACGCGCCGAUCGCAAAUGGUUCACAAACAAGUUUCCCGACGCGCGUUCGCUGUCCGCGCGGAUUUUACCUGAACGGGACCGGCUGCUACCCAGGCUGCCGCGAUCGACCAGAGGAAGAUCGGCAGAGCGCAGUUACCCAGUGUCGUCAUCGCGCGUCCUAAGGUCGAGUACGAGCAGCGUCGGAUAUGUGUCGGGUGUUCGCGUGCGAAGAAUCGCGUUCCGUCUACAAGUCCUUCUAGUCUCUUUCCAACGAAUAUAUAGAGGCGGCACGGUGGCGAAGGGGUGAAGAGGCGCGUGGACGCACGCGCCCCGACGCGAUACCGGCUAACUCGAACCCGUGGGCACGCAGGACGCGGGACGAAGGACGAAAUGUAAAAGGCGACGCCACCGAAACCCAUUAAACGAUUGGCCCGCAUCGACGGGGUGGGUGCUUUUGCGACGCCCUAUCUCGCCGCGUUAUCUUACAAACAACCGGCACACCUAAUUGAGAGUAGUUCUCCCUCGACGGCGAUCGCCGGCCGGUCGAUCGCAGUUUCCCUGCCGGCAGAUGCUCGAGAAAGCUUCGUCGAGAACUGGUCGAAAAAAUCUCGCCCCGAAUCGUUCGUUUCGUCGGGCGAUUUUUCAAGACCGCCGGCUCUUCGUGCGGGACGCGAAAAGGCGUCCGGAAAAUGGGAAAGGGGUUGCUCGUUAAAAGUCGUUCUAACGGGAGCGGCGACGCGAAUCGGGCGAAGGGAGCGCGCGGCCCGGUGCCCGUGCGAUCGAUCUUGCUCGCAUCCGAUGCAGAAAAUAAAUCCUGGAGGCCGUGGAACGCACAUAAGUGCGUGGCCACGCGUGAGCGCGUCGCGAUGCGUAAAAGCGCGACACACUAAAUCGCGCCUACGAAUCGCCCGUAAACAUCCAAUUCGAUUAUCCGCGACGCGUUAACGCUUUACGAGGCGCGAGCACGCGUCGACGAAUCGACCGUUCGAUCGCGCGCGCGCGACUCCGAGCGUCGGGAUAGCAAUUGCAUUGUUGUAUUCGUCGGUGUCUCGAAACGAGGGAACGCUCCGAGAUCUUUUUGAUCGCUUCGGCCGUGGUCCUUUGGGAGUUACGAGCUUUCUUCCUCGCCUGCUGUUUCCGCGCGUUGCCGGACGUCGCGUCGAAUCGAUCGCGACGAAUGGAGAUAGCGAUAGGCCACCGGGUAUCGGCACUCCGGACGAUGUUUACUAUGCAGUCCGUCGAAAGUUUACCUUUCCGCGGUUUACGCUCAAAAUCUCCCCCCGGCCCGCCCGCGGAACUUUCGCUUUCCACUCUAUCGUCCCGCGACCCUCUUUGAUAGCGAUCGACGCCUGAAAGCCACUCGACCAGGCUUACGCCCGUUAAAAGACUCGAGGCUUUUAUCCUAAUUUAUCUUAACGCUGUCCGAUCCCUGGAUCGUACGCGAUCUGGAUUUGCCUUUGCUUCCGCGCUCUUUCUUGACUCUCGAAUACAAGCUGCUUUCGUCCCUCGGACUUUGUGCUAGCUGCAUGUGUUGCGCCACGCGGGUAAAUGUUCCAGUUACAAUGGGUAAUUCGUUUAACUCGUUAUUUAAAUCAUGGUAAAUUUGUCGAGCGUUGAAUAUCGACCUGAAAAACUGCGAGAAUAUCAACGACGUUUAAUUAAUGAAACCGAAAAUAGAAGGAUGAAAUUCA